AAACUUAAAAUACACCGAAGAAUGCUGGCAAAAAAAAUAUAUAUAUACCGAAGAAUGCCACAAAAUCCAUCAUUUUAUGAAAUCCAAAAAAAUCAAUCAGCAUUUGAAUACCAUCAAAUUUUAAUGGAUUUUAAACAAUCCAAUUGAAUACCAUCGGAUUUUAAAACAUAAUUUAAAAUCCCAAUUGAAUAACACCGGAUUUUGUAGCAUAAUUUAAAAUACCAAUUGAAUACUUCAAAAUUUUAAUGGAUUUCAAACAAUCCCAAUCAAAUACCCUCAGAUUUCGUUAAUAUAAAAAAAUAUUUAAAAUCUCAAUCCAAUAAACCUUUCUCUUCGGCAUCGUCUUUUUAUUAUUUGCAAUUGCUUUCCAAGGACCUCUUUGUACAGUUAAACCUCUUUAAAGUAAUACCCCUCGGACCGGGGAAAAAUAUUACUUUACCGAAUUUAUUAUUUUAUCGAUAUAAUAAUAUUUUAUUACUUUAUCGAUAAAGUAAUAUUUUAUUAUUUUACCGAAUUUUUAUAUGUUUACAAAUUACAAUUCAUUAUUUUUAAAAAUAAGAAUCAGUCACAUACAAUAAUUAAUCAUAUGUGAAAACUAAAUUCAUGCAUGCACUGAAUAGAGUAUACAUGUACUGUAACAUGUGCAGUGUACGUAUUGUACAUCAUCCCAAGCGUGUCAUCAAAGGAAGCACUUCAAGCAAUCAACACUUUAAACAAUUAGUUCUUACAACAUGAGCAAAACAUACCGGGAGUUAUUUAUGCUUGACAUAAAGUCAAGGAUGUGGUUAAUUUUGGCCUUGGUGGAAGGAAGAAACAAGCUACUGUAGGAUUCAUAUUUUAAAAAGAACCGAAAUUUGUAAUUCAUAUACAUUAUAUAUAUAUAUAUAUAUAUAUAUAUAUAUAUAUAUAAUUCAUGAAUUAUUACUUUACAUAUUACCCGGGCCUUUAAUGAAUUUCUAAAUUUUUAUUAUCUUAUGCUUUUAGCGAAAAUAUUACUUUACAACAUUGGCCCAAGUUGGGACCGACAAAAUUUAUUACUUAAGCGAGGUUAUUACUUUAUCGGAUAUUACUUAAUCGAGAUUUAACUGUAUUCGUCUUAUCAAGCAGUAGAAUAUCAUCUCUGCCCAUUCAUUUGAAAGCGGCGAUUACCAAUGGUUCUUGUUUAAACCAGUUCAAAGAAAUUUGCAGCUUGUUUGGUGAUGCGGCGAAGAUGUUCGAUAAAAUGCCUGCAUGAAGACUGUUUUCAGUUGGUGAGUUUACUUGACAAUAUUUGUUUUCUUGGAUCGCUACUUAAGAAUUUUUAUGCUUGUAACCAUUGGGUAUUUUGAAGUGCUUGCCAUGUAUUCGUUUUA